rnacentral:lncRNA from 1 species
UCUUUUCAUUUCAGGUUACUUGUCCUAGACAGACCCAACCCCUGUGUUGAGUUCCCUAAGUCAAAUGCACAUGAUGCAAAUAAGAGUUUCUACUAGGGAUCCUACAUGAGGCUGAGUUAUUCUAGGUUUAAAACCUGGGUGUUUGUUCUAGACCUGGCUUACCCGAAGGGACAGCCAGAGCCGAGGGGGAGGUGGAAAUCCGGGAAUACAGAAGCUUCGCGAGCUUUGCGACUUAUCCAAACCUCGUUCUAAA